rnacentral:tRNA from 1 species
GGGCUCGUGGUCUAGCGGCUACGCGCUGGGAUUCCCUGGUGGGAAUUGGCUGGCUUACAGCUGGCGCCGUAGAUGACAGCGCCCUUACAAGGCGUUAAUCCCCGGUUCGAGACAGAUGAUAUUUGCGAAAUUCCGGGCGGGCCCA